GCCAACAACAUUUCAUAAUCAUUUCUGCAGCAAGAAAAAGAAAUAAAGAUGCAUGGUAUAGCUCCUAUGCUCCAUAUUUUUCACAAAAAAUAAACUAAUUGCAAAAGAUAUUUUCUAAAACUUUUUCUAAGAAAAUAAUUUAUUUUCUAUUGUUUGGUUGCCAUGCAGAAAAUCAACUGGAAAUUAUUUGUUUGCAUUUGCAGUACAUUGGAGAAUAUGAAGUUUCUUUUAAUAUAUGACUAUGAAAAUGCUUAAACUUAAAUAAACUUCUUUUUUUUUUAAUUUAUUAAUAAAUUAACAACAACAACAAUGUAUAAAAAACUCCGCAUCAAUAUAGCAUAAGGAUCCAUAUUAUGAGAAA
rnacentral:misc_RNA from 1 species